UGAAGGUUCGCUUGGCGCGAUUAGCAAAGGGAACGGGGUGCGAAUCCCCGACUGUCUCGCAGCUGUGAGUUCCAUUAUUGCCUCACACAAGAUGCCACUGCCUGAUGAUCAGGCGGGAAGGCGUGUGAGAGCGGAACAAAGUCAGAAGACCUGCCUUCUCAA
rnacentral:ncRNA from 1 species